CCUACGGGGCGCAGCAGUGGGGAAUAUUGCACAAUGGGGGAAACCCUGAUGCAGCGACGCCGCGUGAGUGAAGAGGUAUUUCGGUAUGUAAAGCUCUAUCAGCAGGGAAGAUAAUGACGGUACCUGACUAAGAAGCCCCGGCUAACUACGUGCCAGCAGCCGCGGUAAUACGUAGGGGGCAAGCGUUAUCCGGAUUUAUUGGGUGUAAAGGGUGCGUAGACGGGAAUACAAGUUGGUUGUGAAAGCCCUCGGCUUAACUGAGGAACUGCAACCAAAACUAUAUUUCUUGAGUAUCGGAGAGGAAA
rnacentral:rRNA from 1 species